GGCUGAGUGGUUAGAGAGAGAGAGACUAUCUGGGUAGGGGCUGAGUGGUUAGAGAGAGAGAGACCAUCUGGGUAGGGGCUGAGUGGUUAGAGAGAGAGAGACCAUCUGGGUAGGGGCUGAGUGUGGUUAGAGAGAGAGAGAGAGACCAUCUGGGUAGGGGCUGAGUGGUUAGAGAGAGAGACCAUCUGGGUAGGGGCUGAGUGGUUAGAGAGAGAGACCAUCUGGGUAGGGGCUGAGUGGUUAGAGAGAGAGAGACCAUCUGGGUAGGGGCUGAGUGGUUAGAGAGAGAGAGAGACCAUCUGGGUAGGGGCUGAGUGGUUAGAGAGAGAGAGACCAUCUGGGUAGGGGCUGAGUGGUUAGAGAUGAUAGGAUAGUAGAGGAGAGAGUAGUGAGAGAGAGAGAGA
rnacentral:lncRNA from 1 species